rnacentral:rRNA from 1 species
AACGAACGCUGGCGGCGUGCCUAACACAUACAAGUCGAACGAGAAAGGGGCUUCGGCUCCGAGUAAAGUGGCGCACGGGUGAGUAACACGUGGGUAACCUGCCUCUAAGAUUGGGAUAACUCGUCGAAAGAUGAGCUAAUACCGAAUAAGACCACAGUUCCCGCGGGAACAGGGGUCAAAGGUAGCCUCUGCUUGCAAGCUAUCACUUAGAGAUGGGCCUGCGCACCAUUAGCUAGUUGGUAGGGUAACGGCCUACCAAGGCAAAGAUGGUUAGCUGGUCUGAGAGGAUGAUCAGCCACACUGGAACUGAGACACGGUCCAGACUCCUACGGGAGGCAGCAGUGGGGAAUAUUGCGCAAUGGGCGAAAGCUUGACGCAGCAACGCCGCGUGAGUGAUGAAGGCCUUCGGGUCGUAAAGCUCUGUCGGGAGGAACGAAUGCUCCUGAGGUUAACAGCCUCGGGAGGUGACGGUACCUGCAAAGGAAGCACCGGCUAACUCUGUG